UACGUAGGGUGCAAGCGUUGUCCGGAAUUAUUGGGCGUAAAGAGCUCGUAGGCGGUCUGUCGCGUCGGCUGUGAAAACCCGGGGCUCAACCCCGGGCCUGCAGUCGAUACGGGCAGACUAGAGUGCGGUAGGGGAGACUGGAAUUCCUGGUGUAGCGGUGAAAUGCGCAGAUAUCAGGAGGAACACCGGUGGCGAAGGCGGGUCUCUGGGCCGAUACUGACGCUGAGACGCGAAAGCGUGGGGAGCAAACAGG
rnacentral:rRNA from 1 species